CUAGUACUCCAUCCGUUUUAAAAUUAUUGUCUUAAAUUUCUCUAGGUAUGGAUGUAUCUAGUCACGUUUUACUAUUUUAAUACAUAUAUUUUUAAACAAACUUAAGACAAAAAUUUUAAGACGAAAGAAGUAUUCA
rfam:Hordeum vulgare subsp. vulgare, WGS project CAJW01000000 data, contig: morex_contig_57093